GCUGGGAAGUCAGAGGGUAUGGCCGCCGCCCGCUUCUUCCGCACCACGGAGCCCGUCUGGGGCCCGAGGUUGGGAGCAAAAGCAGAUGGACAGUUUGUAGAGACUUGAGCGAAGCUCAGGCAGCCGGCCCGGCAGGUGCUUCCCGACGCCGACGGUGCCCCAGACGUGCACGUCCCCGGGUGAAAGGUGCUUCAUACGUGACCCCAGUCCGCCUUCUGCCGCGCAAGGCGGGAGCGGACGAGCGUCGGUGGAGCGCUCGUGAGGUUUCCUUGGGUUUGGGGCUUUGGAGGCCAGAGUGGGAGUCGCGUCCGACUGCGGGAGCUGGUGGAGGUCCUGUGUUGGAUGGGGCCUCUGGACUGGAGAAAGUGAAACGUCACGUUAGAAAAAUUGUGUUGGAAGUAGACAAAUGCUGGUGCUUUUUAGUGAGUAUUGAUAGAGAAGUGGACGCCCGUGUCUAACAAAAAUACGGUUCCUAUUAAGUGGUUUAGGGCUUCUUUUUCCUUAAGUCCGUGUACUUAGGUUAAGUCUCAAAGUCACAAUGUAGUAAAAACUCAAAAAGAGGUGAGGACAGUCGACUUUUAAAGAUCUCAGAGAGUCAGUGAGGAAAGGAGGGGGGGGGAAGACCUUUUAUUGGCAGUUGCCGAAUCAAAUGUGUUACUUGUGCUCACUUACCCUCCCCUGGAGCACAUCUUGGAGGCAGGGAAAGGGGAGACACCUAAGGGUGGAGGCCACGGCUCUGGAAUCGGUAGCUGGGUUUGAAUUUCAGGACACACUACUUACUGCCGAUGUGGACUCAGGCAAUGGUUUCACCUAAGUGGCUUUCCACCUCUGCGAAAUGGAGAUAAUGCUCUUACGUCAUCCGUAGGUUGUCAUGAAGAUUAAAUGAAUUUGUUCGUGUUAAGUGCCCAACAGAACUGUGAGCACUCCGUAAGAAUUAGCUGUUAUUUUGAUUAUUAUUUGUAUUUGGUCCCUGUGCAUGUGGUAAGGACUCAACAAAUAUCGGAACUGUUGAGAAUCCAGACAAGACAAGAGCGACCUGUAUGUGGCCCGCGAAUAGAAUGGACCCGAUGGGAAGAAAAACAAGACAACUUUACAAUAUAAUGGUUUGAUUGGGGGAUGAUUUUACCAUAGGUGUGGCAAUUUUGAUAGCUCUAUUAGAAUUAAAAGUAUGAAAGGGCUAAUGGGUGUUGACAUUAUCUAAGGAUAAAUAUGACUUUUUAAAAAAUACAGUUGCCUGUCACUGGGUAGUGUGAGGUAGUGGAGGGUGGAAUGGCAGAAACCUCAACUUAGACUUUCUAGAGUUUUAAUCGUCCUCCAUAAAGACACUACCCAUGGCAGAAUAUUGAACCUAGUAUUCUUUAUGACUGUGGCGUCUUGGUUUUCUGCACCCGGACACCCUCACAUGAUCUGUAUCUGCUCUUCUAUUUCGUUUUCCCUGUCAGUGCUCAGGCCAUUGCCUCCCUUCCCAGCCUAGACAGCAGGGUUUAUCAGCAUCCAAACUCCCUGUGUCUAAGGCCUCUGACCCAGGUGCCUGUCAAAACUGUGGCUCCGAAUGCAUCCCACAAGUCCCGAGCUCGGCUCCCUGAAGGAAACAGUAAACAGGGGCAUAUGACACAUUUGUGGUCUCCAGCUUCGGCUCACCUCCUGCUUCUUGACAGUCUGGUUUCCUCAGAGCUUUCAGUGCCUUCUCACAAACUACCCCUUCCCAGCCCCAACUCCCGUCUUUAUGAGAAGGUGACUAGUGUAGUCCGAAAGGUAUUUUUAAGCCCGUAACACAUUCACAAGCAUCUACAGUUUUUAUACCUGUUUCUGAUCUCAGUUUAAUUCCAUGUUCCCUUUCCAGAUUGCACUUUCCAGGCUGGAUGACAGACCUGCAAGGACUGAGCAGACCUUCGAGUGACAUGAUGGGGGUGCUCAGUGAGACGGCGACAGCCUGCAGCUGGGACCUCCCCGUUAGUGCAGGUGGUGCUCAGUGGUAGCUUCUACUUUAGGUUAAAAUAAACAGAUCUCUUUUUAAAGUGA